CGUACUGACUGAACUGUGAUACCUAGAAUUUCUGUCUACGUACCCAGAACUAGGAGGUGUCAGAAUAGAAAUGUGGCCUACUUCGUGCGGGCUAACCUGCAAAUCCGGGGAUUGACUUUCCCCCAUAGCCCCAUCAUUGUCACGAAAAGACAUACCGGGAACUGUUCCCAGAAAAACACAAUAAAUAAACGCAAAGUAUUUCGAACUUUCAAAAAAUACUUUAUUCCUCUGCACUGAAGCCGAACCGUAAAUUUGAAAUCCUCCCCCACACAAACAAAAUUAUUACGUCAUUUAAUCAGAAAAACUUCAAGAAUGCAAUAUUCUAUAAAAAUAUCAAUAAAAACACUGUGAAAAACUUCCUAUUACUUUGAGAAAAUUAAUUCGCGAAAAAAUUCAAUAUGGCGGCCAAUUAAAAAUUUUCCUUUUUCCUGAAAAUAAUUAAACCCAAAGACAAAAGACAAUUAAUUUUAAAAAAUUUGUAAUUAAUAGAUUAGCAGAUGCGUUCAAAUGCUCGCAGCGCCAUUGUAGUGAUUUUUACCGAGUAUUUAGAUUGUAAUUAAGGGGUACUUACGGUUUAUCUACUUGGUAGUUUCACUGCUUCUGGCCUUCUUUUUGUUCAGAUGCAAGAGUGCGGGCUUCGCCUUCCAGAAUCGUCUGCUGUCGUUUUGUUCCCAUGUGACGCUCCUCGUCCAAUGGGUUUUGCACAUACAGCUAUUGAUUGUAUGAAUGGUGGAAGACCUGGAAAGAGUCUAACGUUAAUCUGCAAAAUAACCGGUACUAUAGUUAGUGGAUUCCGAUGGCUCCGACCUAAUGGUGGAUCAACACAACUGAUCAUACUGUGCAACACUGCAAAUACGCUCCUCCAGAUCCCAACCCAGAGAGUCAGGUUUCGGAAUCCACCAUUAUCAUACUACUAGUAGUGAUAGGUGUUCUACUGGUCGUCACUGUUGCAAUAUCGUGGUUGUGUUACAAGAGAAGGAAGCGAGGACCGAAAUCUGAGCAAGAGAAAGCUGAACAGAGAAGUCAAGAGGAAGGAGAUGAGAGAGGCGAAGUUGACAAAGCAGCUGUCGAACCGAAAUAUUAAUUAGUUAUAAAUGUGCUUACAAGUGAAUGCUCGGAUCAGUCGAGUUCACCAAUCAUUGGCCAAUUGAAACAGUUAACCAAUUAAAUCAUAAGAGUAUAAUCUUGCAUCACUUUAACAAAUUGACAGAGCAUAAUUAGCAUCAUGUUAUUUCUCUUCCAGUUCUGUGUUGGUGGAUGUAUUAGUUAUUUAAUUGAUUUUUUGAAAAGUUAUUUUACUCUUUAUUCGAAGGCUGGUAAUGACGUAUUUACGUAAUACAGACCAGGUGUUGAAAUAAUAUGUAUACGUUCAGGGGCCAAUCAGUCUGCAGGAUGAGUCAAGUUAGGGACCACUUAGGAACCAGUAUUUCCAUAUUCAAAAGCAAACAUCUAAAUUGUUCCCAUGUGUAUAUAACGAUUCUUAAUUUUCAUAUUUCUUGUUCGUCGAAAACACCGAUCUCUUAUAUUCGACUAGUUUUCAUUUACCAUAGUUAGACGCCCAAUAGCCGAUGUAUUUUUCGUGCUGGACUGUCGUUAAACGUCUAUUCUAUUCUAUUCUAUUCUAUUCUAUUUGACUGGUUUUCUUUACUGUGUUUAGGUGUGAUACAAGGGAUCCAUAUAUUUCAUUUUUCAAAUAAUAAACUGCUUGUAUCGUGCAUUUUCUUUGUUUUGUUACACUAUA
rnacentral:misc_RNA from 1 species